GAUGAACGCUGGCGGCGUGCCUAAUACAUGCAAGUCGAGCGAACAGACGAGGAGCUUGCUCCUCUGACGUUAGCGGCGGACGGGUGAGUAACACGUGGAUAACCUACCUAUAAGACUGGGAUAACUUCGGGAAACCGGAGCUAAUACCGGAUAAUAUAUUGAACCGCAUGGUUCAAUAGUGAAAGACGGUUUUGCUGUCACUUAUAGAUGGAUCCGCGCCGCAUCAGCUAGUUGGUAAGGUAACGGCUUACCAAGGCAACGAUGCGUAGCCGACCUGAGAGGGUGAACGGCCACACUGGAACUGAGACACGGUCCAGACUCCUACAGUAGGCAGCAGUAGAGAAUCUUCCGCGAUGGGCGAAAGCCUGACGGAGCAACGCCGCGUGAGUGAUGAAGGUCUUCGGAUCGUAAAACUCUGUUAUUAGGGAAGAACAAAUGUGUAAGUAACUAUGCACGUCUUGACGGUACCUAAUCAGAAAGCCACGGCUAACUACGUG
rnacentral:rRNA from 1 species